rnacentral:rRNA from 1 species
UACGGAGGGUGCAAGCGUUAUCCGGAUUCACUGGGUUUAAAGGGUGCGUAGGAGGGCAGGUAAGUCAGUGGUGAAAUCCCCGAGCUUAACUUGGGAACUGCCGUUGAUACUAUCUGUCUUGAAUAUUGUGGAGGUAAGCGGAAUAUGUCAUGUAGCGGUGAAAUGCUUAGAUAUAACAUAGAACACCAAUUGCGAAGGCAGCUUGCUACACAACUAUUGACUCUGAUGCACGAAAGCGUGGGGAUCAAACAGG